rnacentral:rRNA from 1 species
UACGGAGGGAGCUAGCGUUGUUCGGAAUUACUGGGCGUAAAGCGCGCGUAGGCGGCCUUGCCAGUUAGAGGUGAAAGCCCGGAGCUCAACUCCGGAACUGCCUUUAAAACUGCAUAGCUUGAAUCCGGGAGAGGUGAGUGGAAUUCCGAGUGUAGAGGUGAAAUUCGUAGAUAUUCGGAAGAACACCAGUGGCGAAGGCGGCUCACUGGACCGGUAUUGACGCUGAGGUGCGAAAGCGUGGGGAGCAAACAGG